UGGGGAAUUUUGCGCAAUGGGGGAAACCCUGACGCAGCAACGCCGCGUGAGUGAUGAAGGCCUUCGGGUCGUAAAGCUCUGUCAGAGGGGAAGAAAUGCAGGGGUGCUAAUAUCAUCUUUGCUUGACGGUACCCUCAAAGGAAGCACCGGCUAACUCCGUGCCAGCAGCCGCGGUAAUACGGAGGGUGCGAGCGUUGUUCGGAAUUAUUGGGCGUAAAGCGCGUGUAGGCGGUUUGGUAAGUCUAAUGUGAAAGCCCCGGGCUCAACCUGGGGAGGGCAUUGGAAACUGUCAGACUUGAAUACGGGAGAGGGUAGUGGAAUUCCUGGUGUAGGAGUGAAAUCCGUAGAUAUUAGGAGGAACACCGGUGGCGAAGGCGGCUACCUGGACCGAUAUUGACGCUGAGACGCGAAAGCGUGGGGAGCAAACAG
rnacentral:rRNA from 1 species